ACUUCACUCCUUCAAACAUUGUUCACCAUGAAAUCUGUUAUUUGCCUCGUCUCCCUUUUCGCUGUGGCAUAUGUUGGCAACCUGAAAUUGGCCAACUUGAAGCCAACCUUUGCAUUACGUGACAUUUUCUACAAUCAUACCAUAGCUGUUUCAACGUUGAGCGACAAUCUAGCUGUCCAAUGUUCUGUCCAAUGAACUACGCCCCCCUUUGUGGCUCUGAUGGCAAAACAUACAGCAACGAGUGCGAGCUCCACGUCACCAACUGUCUUCACAAGGUGAAUGUGGUCAAAGUGCACCAAGGAAGCUGUGAUGGCUCGGAUCUGGCGCAACUCCUCAGCGUGUCGCGCUAAUGAUCUCAACAAGUUUUCUGUAAAAUCGUAUAUUAAAAAGUCUUUGUU
rnacentral:misc_RNA from 1 species